rnacentral:rRNA from 1 species
UCCGCAAUGCGGGAAACCGUGACGGGGUUACCCCGAGUGCUCCCCUUGUGGGAGCUUUUCCCCGCUGUAAAAAGGCGGGGGAAUAAGCGGGGGGCAAGUCUGGUGUCAGCCGCCNCGGUAAUACCAGCCCCGCGAGUGGUCGGGGUGUUUAUUGGGCCUAAAGCGGCCGUAGCCGGCCCGGUAAGUCCUCCCUGAAAGCCCCAGGCUCAACCUGGGGAGCGGGAGGAUACUGCCGGGCUAGAGGGCGGGAGAGGCCGAGGGUACUCCCGGGGUAGGGGCGAAAUCCUGUAAUCCCGGGAGGACCACCAGUGGCGAAGGCGCUUGGCCGGAACGCGCCUGACGGUGAGGGCCGAAAGCCGGGGGAGCGAACCGGAUUNNAUNCCCGGGUAGUCCCGGCUGUAAACGAUGCGGGCUAGGUGUUAGGCGGGCGGGAGAGCCCGCCUAGUNCCGCAGGGAAGCCG